UACGGGGGGGGCAAGCGUUGUUCGGAAUUACUGGGCGUAAAGGGCUCGUAGGCGGCCAACUAAGUCAUACGUGAAAUCCCUCGGCUUAACCGGGGAACUGCGUCUGAUACUGGAUGGCUUGAGUUCGGGAGAGGGAUGCGGAAUUCCAGGUGUAGCGGUGAAAUGCGUAGAUAUCUGGAGGAAUACCGGUGGCGAAGGCGGCAUCCUGGACCGAAACUGACGCUGAUGCGCGAAAGCUAGGGGAGCAAACGGG
rnacentral:rRNA from 1 species